rnacentral:rRNA from 1 species
AGUGAACGCUGGCGGUAGGCCUAACACAUGCAAGUCGAACGGCAGCACAGUAAGAGCUUGCUCUUACGGGUGGCGAGUGGCGGACGGGUGAGGAAUACAUCGGAAUCUACUUUUUCGUGGGGGAUAACGUAGGGAAACUUACGCUAAUACCGCAUACGACCUACGGGUGAAAGCAGGGGAUCUUCGUACCUUGCGCGAUUGAAUGAGCCGAUGUCGGAUUAGCUAGUUGGCGGGGUAAAGGCCCACCAAGGCGACGAUCCGUAGCUGGUCUGAGAGGAUGAUCAGCCACACUGGAACUGAGACACGGUCCAGACUCCUACGGGAGGCAGCAGUGGGGAAUAUUGGACAAUGGGCGCAAGCCUGAUCCAGCCAUACCGCGUGGGUAAAGAAGGCCUUCGGGUUGUAAAGCCCUUUUGUUGGGAAAGAAAAGCAGCAGGUUAAUACCCCGCUGUUCUGACGGUACCCAAAGAAUAAGCACCGGCUAACUUCGUG